rnacentral:lncRNA from 1 species
GGAAGGAGGAGGUCUACAUUCGUUCAUCCCAAGGGAGGCUCCUGCUCUCCCUAGCAGACACCUGUCUUCUAGAACCAAGACACCCACUACUCAGCUCUGGACAGUACCUGAAAGUGUUGGAUUGCAUUAAAAACCAAACCAAUGAGUUAUGGGAAUGCUGAGGAGUGUCCUUGACACCCCCUUUUAUGAAACAGUGUAUUUGACUGUGAGUCACAGGGCAUGAACUGUGCUGGCUGCUUAUUGCUGGGUUUCAAGGGGACCCAAGGAGUGCAUGUGCUGGUAGGAAACUCCGCAGUGCAUGAGCUUCCACUUCAGCAGAGGGAGAGCUGGGGACUUUGCAGCAUGAGGA